CAUAAAUGGUUUAUUAUUACUGAUUCCAUGACAGUUAAACUAUACAUCUAUGUAUAAUAGGAAAAAAGUGAAUAAUAUGAAAAUAAUGAGGAAACAUAUGUUACUUAUGUUUUAUUCAUACCUAAAUUAAUUCAGUAAUGUAUGUGAUGAUUUUCCAAAAGAAGAACCCAUAUGUGCAAUUAGUGACUUAAGCAUGGGCAUAUAUAAACUGCCAUAUACCAUGUAGAUUAGAAGGCUCUGAUGAAGUAGGGCUGCACCGUACGAAACGCGUAAGGCAAAUCACGCCAUCUGACUAAGAGGAGCAUUUGCCAGUGGAGACUGAACUGCAAGCAUCCCUGUCAACCAAGGAUUCCGAACAUCAACAUCAUCUAGUGAGAACGGAGCUCACCCCUCAAUGUGAGGUCGGAGGUGUAACACACGGUGACAUGCACGCCGUCCUCACCGGCUGCCAGGAUACAGAGGAAAUAUUAACUACUACAAUCCUCAACCAUCAGGGUCUGGACUACAAGUUUACUUGCUUAUCUUAUUUCCUAUAUACUGGACUAUCUGCC